rnacentral:tRNA from 1 species
GCGGACGUAGCUCAAUGGUGGAGCGCCGCACUGUGGAUGCGGUGGUUGCGGGUUCGAGCCCCGUCGUCCGCC